rnacentral:rRNA from 1 species
CCCUUCGAUGUUCUGGGCAGCACGCGCGCUACAAUGGUCUUCGCAAACGGAUGCAUUCUCGAAGGAGAAUGCCAAUCUUGGAAUCUAUGCCUUGGUCGGGACAGUUGCUUGCAAUUUUUCGACUCGAACCAGGAAUUCCUUGUAAUCGUGAUUCAUCACAUCACGAUGAAUACGUCCCUGCCCUUUGUACACACCGCCCGUCGCUCCUACCGAUCGAAGAGUUAGGUGAAUUGUUUUGAUCGAUAAGAUUUGACUAUGGUCAACUCUCGUUGUGAAAUUCUGUGAAGCUGACUGUUUAGAGGAAGGAAAAGUCGUAACA